AUUGAACGCUGGCGGCAGGCCUAACACAUGCAAGUCGAACGCGUGGCGGACGGGUGAGUAAUGUCUGGGAAACUUCCCGAUGGAGGGGGAUAACUAAUGGAAAAGGUAGCUAAUACCGCAUACCCUCGGAUGUGCCCAUAUGGGAUUAGCUAGAGGGUGGGGUAAAGGCUCACCUAGGCGACGAUCCCUAGCUGGUCUGAGAGGAUGACCAGCCACACUGGAACUGAGACACGGUCCAGACUCCUACGGGAGGCAGCAGUGGGGAAUAUUGCACAAUGGGCGCAAGCCUGAUGCAGCCAUGCCGCGUGUAUGAAGAAGGCCUUCGGGUUGUAAAGUACUUUCAGCGAGGAGGCGUUACCCGCAGAAGAAGCACCGGCUAACUCCGUGCCAGCAGCCGCGGUAAUAC
rnacentral:rRNA from 1 species